rnacentral:rRNA from 1 species
AUUGAACGCUGGCGGCAUGCCUUACACAUGCAAGUCGAACGGUAACAGGUCUUCGGAUGCUGACGAGUGGCGAACGGGUGAGUAAUACUUCGGAACGUGCCUAGUAGUGGGGGAUAACUACUCGAAAGAGUGGCUAAUACCGCAUGAGAUCUACGGAUGAAAGCAGGGGAUCGCAAGACCUUGUGCUACUAGAGCGGCCGAUGGCAGAUUAGGUAGUUGGUGGGAUAAAAGCUUACCAAGUCGACGAUCUGUAGCUGGUCUGAGAGGACGAUCAGCCACACUGGGACUGAGACACGGCCCAGACUCCUACGGGAGGCAGCAGUGGGGAAUUUUGGACAAUGGGCGCAAGCCUGAUCCAGCAAUGCCGCGUGCAGGAUGAAGGCCUUCGGGUUGUAAACUGCUUUUGUACGGAACGAAAAGCCCCGGGUUAAUACCCUGGGGUCAUGACGGUACCGUAAGAAUAAGCACCGGCCAACUACGUGCCAGCCGCCGCGGUAA